ACCCUUCACAGAAAUGUGCUUCUACUACCUCUUUCUAUGUGCCAGGCUGCAUGCCAGCUGGGGAGAACGGAGGGAAGUGGCAGACAAGCGAGUCCUCAGGAUAGAUUGUCAUUAGUGAGAAAGAGGGGUGCUGAUAGCUGUGGAGGGGGCUUAUACAAUGUGUAUGGACAACAUGCGAACAUUGGUAAAAGAAAGAUUGAG